rnacentral:rRNA from 1 species
CCUACGGGCGGCAGCAGUCGAGAAUCAUUCUCAAUGGGGGAAACCCUGCUGGUGCGACGCCGCGUGGGGGAAUGAAGGUCUUCGGAUUGUAAACCCCUUUCCUGUGGGAGCAAAUUCAAAAGAUAGUACCACAAGAGGAAGAGACGGCUAACUCUGUGCCAGCAGCCGCGGUAAUACAGCGGUCUCAAGCGUUGUUCGGAAGCACUGGGCGUAAAGCGUGCGUAGGCGGUUUCGUAAGUCGUGUGUGAAAGGCGCGGGCUCAACCCGCGGACGGCACAUGAUACUGGGAGACUAGAGGAAUGGAGGGGGAACCGGAAUUCUCGGUGUAGCAGUGAAAUGCGUAGAUAUCGAGAGGAACACUCGUGGCGAAGGCGGGUUCCUGGACAUUAACUGACGCUGAGGCACGAAGGCCAGGGGAGCGAAAGGGAUUAGAUACCCGUGUAGUC